UACGUAGGGUGCAAGCGUUAAUCGGAAUUACUGGGCGUAAAGCGUGCGCAGGCGGUUAUGCAAGACAGAUGUGAAAUCCCCGGGCUUAACCUGGGAACUGCAUUUGUGACUGCAUGACUAGAGUACGGUAGAGGGGAAUGGAAUUCCGCGUGUAGCAGUGAAAUGCGUAGAUAUGCGGAGGAACACCGAUGGCGAAGGCAAUUCCCUGGACCUGUACUGACGCUCAUGCACGAAAGCGUGGGGAGCAAACAGG
rnacentral:rRNA from 1 species